GUCUCCGCCUUGGAUCAGGAGAUAAUUGAAGUAGAUCCUGACACUAAGGAAAUGCUGAAGCUUUUGGACUUCGGCAGUCUGUCCAACCUUCAGGUCACUCAGCCUACAGUUGGGAUGAAUUUCAAAACGCCUCGGGGACCUGUUUGAAUUUUUUCUGUAGUGCUGUAUUAUUUUCAGUAAAUCUGGGACAACAGCC